rnacentral:lncRNA from 1 species
AAUUAGUUUGACAGAUUGUAAUUAUUUGUAUAUAUAUGGAAGUUCUCCAGCAAGAGGGGACACAGUUUUCUGGCUCAAUCCUUUCUAAAUUUAACAUGGUAUCAGUCUAGGUUACGAUUCCCAAACCUAGUUUGUGUUUUUUUCAGUCUCGUGUUCUCGACUUUCAACUUUCGACUCUCGUAUCUCGACUUUCGAUUUUCGAACUUUCAAUUCUCGAAUCUUCC